rnacentral:rRNA from 1 species
GGGUUGUGAGGUUAAGCGACUAAGCGUACACGGUGGAUGCCCUGGCAGUCAGAGGCGAUGAAGGACGUGCUAAUCUGCGAUAAGCGUCGGUAAGGUGAUAUGAACCGUUAUAACCGGCGAUUUCCGAAUGGGGAAACCCAGUGUGAUUCGUCACACUAUCAUUAACUGAAUCCAUAGGUUAAUGAGGCGAACCGGGGGAACUGAAACAUCUAAGUACCCCGAGGAAAAGAAAUCAACCGAGAUUCCCCCAGUAGCGGCGAGCGAACGGGGAGCAGCCCAGAGCCUGAAUCAGUGUGUGUGUUAGUGGAAGCGUCUGGAAAGGCGCGCGAUACAGGGUGACAGCCCCGUACACAAAAAUGCACAUACUGUGAGCUCGAUGAGUAGGGCGGGACACGUGGUAUCCUGUCUGAAUAUGGGGGGACCAUCCUCCAAGGCUAAAUACUCCUGACUGACCGAUAGUGAACCAGUACCGUGAGGGAAAGGCGAAAAGAACCCCGGCGAGGGGAGUGAAAAAGAACCUGAAACCGUGUACGUACAAGCAGUGGGAGCACAGAGCAAUCUGUGUGACUGCGUACCUUUUGUAUAAUGGGUCAGCGACUUAUAUUCUGUAGCAAGGUUAACCGAAUAGGGGAGCCGAAGGGAAACCGAGUCUUAACUGGGCGUUAAGUUGCAGGGUAUAGACCCGAAACCCGGUGAUCUAGCCAUGGGCAGGUUGAAGGUUGGGUAACACUAACUGGAGGACCGAACCGACUAAUGUUGAAAAAUUAGCGGAUGACUUGUGGCUGGGGGUGAAAGGCCAAUCAAACCGGGAGAUAGCUGGUUCUCCCCGAAAGCUAUUUAGGUAGCGCCUCGUGAAUUCAUCUCCGGGGGUAGAGCACUGUUUCGGCAAGGGGGUCAUCCCGACUUACCAACCCGAUGCAAACUGCGAAUACCGGAGAAUGUUAUCACGGGAGACACACGGCGGGUGCUAACGUCCGUCGUGAAGAGGGAAACAACCCAGACCGCCAGCUAAGGUCCCAAAGUCAUGGUUAAGUGGGAAACGAUGUGGGAAGGCCCAGACAGCCAGGAUGUUGGCUUAGAAGCAGCCAUCAUUUAAAGAAAGCGUAAUAGCUCACUGGUCGAGUCGGCCUGCGCGGAAGAUGUAACGGGGCUAAACCAUGCACCGAAGCUGCGGCAGCGACGCUUAUGCGUUGUUGGGUAGGGGAGCGUUCUGUAAGCCUGUGAAGGUGUACUGUGAGGUAUGCUGGAGGUAUCAGAAGUGCGAAUGCUGACAUAAGUAACGAUAAAGCGGGUGAAAAGCCCGCUCGCCGGAAGACCAAGGGUUCCUGUCCAACGUUAAUCGGGGCAGGGUGAGUCGACCCCUAAGGCGAGGCCGAAAGGCGUAGUCGAUGGGAAACAGGUUAAUAUUCCUGUACUUGGUGUUACUGCGAAGGGGGGACGGAGAAGGCUAUGUUGGCCGGGCGACGGUUGUCCCGGUUUAAGCGUGUAGGCUGGUUUUCCAGGCAAAUCCGGAAAAUCAAGGCUGAGGCGUGAUGACGAGGCACUACGGUGCUGAAGCAACAAAUGCCCUGCUUCCAGGAAAAGCCUCUAAGCAUCAGGUAACAUCAAAUCGUACCCCAAACCGACACAGGUGGUCAGGUAGAGAAUACCAAGGCGCUUGAGAGAACUCGGGUGAAGGAACUAGGCAAAAUGGUGCCGUAACUUCGGGAGAAGGCACGCUGAUAUGUAGGUGAAGUCCCUCGCGGAUGGAGCUGAAAUCAGUCGAAGAUACCAGCUGGCUGCAACUGUUUAUUAAAAACACAGCACUGUGCAAACACGAAAGUGGACGUAUACGGUGUGACGCCUGCCCGGUGCCGGAAGGUUAAUUGAUGGGGUUAGCGCAAGCGAAGCUCUUGAUCGAAGCCCCGGUAAACGGCGGCCGUAACUAUAACGGUCCUAAGGUAGCGAAAUUCCUUGUCGGGUAAGUUCCGACCUGCACGAAUGGCGUAAUGAUGGCCAGGCUGUCUCCACCCGAGACUCAGUGAAAUUGAACUCGCUGUGAAGAUGCAGUGUACCCGCGGCAAGACGGAAAGACCCCGUGAACCUUUACUAUAGCUUGACACUGAACAUUGAGCCUUGAUGUGUAGGAUAGGUGGGAGGCUUUGAAGUGUGGACGCCAGUCUGCAUGGAGCCGACCUUGAAAUACCACCCUUUAAUGUUUGAUGUUCUAACGUUGACCCGUAAUCCGGGUUGCGGACAGUGUCUGGUGGGUAGUUUGACUGGGGCGGUCUCCUCCUAAAGAGUAACGGAGGAGCACGAAGGUUGGCUAAUCCUGGUCGGACAUCAGGAGGUUAGUGCAAUGGCAUAAGCCAGCUUGACUGCGAGCGUGACGGCGCGAGCAGGUGCGAAAGCAGGUCAUAGUGAUCCGGUGGUUCUGAAUGGAAGGGCCAUCGCUCAACGGAUAAAAGGUACUCCGGGGAUAACAGGCUGAUACCGCCCAAGAGUUCAUAUCGACGGCGGUGUUUGGCACCUCGAUGUCGGCUCAUCACAUCCUGGGGCUGAAGUAGGUCCCAAGGGUAUGGCUGUUCGCCAUUUAAAGUGGUACGCGAGCUGGGUUUAGAACGUCGUGAGACAGUUCGGUCCCUAUCUGCCGUGGGCGCUGGAGAACUGAGGGGGGCUGCUCCUAGUACGAGAGGACCGGAGUGGACGCAUCACUGGUGUUCGGGUUGUCAUGCCAAUGGCACUGCCCGGUAGCUAAAUGCGGAAGAGAUAAGUGCUGAAAGCAUCUAAGCACGAAACUUGCCCCGAGAUGAGUUCUCCCUGACUCCUUGAGAGUCCUGAAGGAACGUUGAAGACGACGACGUUGAUAGGCCGGAUGUGUAAGCGCAGCGAUGCGUUGAGCUAACCGGUACUAAUGAACCGUGAGGCUUAACCUUACAACGCCGAAGGUGUUU